UUGGAGGGCAAGUCUGGUGCCAGCAGCCGCGGUAAUUCCAGCUCCAAUAGCGUAUAUUAAAGUUGUUGCAGUUAAAAAGCUCGUAGUUGAAUUUCGGGACCAAUUUGUUGGUCGUGCCUCGGUACGUACUGGUAUUAUUGGUUUCUCCCUUCUGAAGAACCAUGAUGCCAUUAAUUUGGUGUCGUGGGGAAUCAGGACUGUUACUUUGAAAAAAUUAGAGUGUUUAAAGCAGGCAUACGCUUGAAUACAUUAGCAUGGAAUAAUGAAAUAGGACGUUUGAUUCUAUUUUGUUGGUUUCUAGGAUCGACGUAAUGAUUAAUAGGGAUAGUUGGGGGCAUUAGUAUUCAAUUGUCAGAGGUGAAAUUCUUGGAUUUAUUGAAGACUAACUACUGCGAAAGCAUUUGCCAAGGAUGUUUUCAUUAAUCAAGAACGAAAGUUAGGGGAUCGAAGACGAUCAGAUACCGUCGUAGUCUUAACCAUAAACUAUGCCGACUAGGGAUCGGAUGAUGUUAAUUUUUUAAUGACUCAUUCGGCGCCUUACGGGAAAC
rnacentral:rRNA from 1 species